GACGAACGCCGGCGGCGUGCUUAACACAUGCAAGUCGAACGAUGAACCCGGAGCUUGCUCCGGUGGAUUAGUGGCGGACGGGUGAGUAACACGUGAGUAACCUGCCCUUGACUCUGGGAUAACUGCGGGAAACUGUAGCUAAUACCGGAUACGACCCUCGGCGGCAUCGCCAGGGGGUGGAAAGAAUUUCGGUCAAGGAUGGACUCGCGGCCUAUCAGCUAGUUGGUGAGGUAACGGCUCACCAAGGCGACGACGGGUAGCCGGCCUGAGAGGGUGACCGGCCACACUGGGACUGAGACACGGCCCAGACUCCUACGGGAGGCAGCAGUGGGGAAUAUUGCACAAUGGGCGCAAGCCUGAUGCAGCAACGCCGCGUGAGGGAUGACGGCCUUCGGGUUGUAAACCUCUUUUAGUAGGGAAGAAGCGAAAGUGACGGUACCUGCAGAGAAAGCACCGGCUAACUACGUGCCAGCCGCCGCCGUAA
rnacentral:rRNA from 1 species